UUUGUGAAAGAGAGUCAGCACAAGACCUACCCAUCACUUAAGUCUUAUUUAAACUCUCAAAAUAGGACUGAAGUGAUGCACAUGUCUUGCACUUGCCUUCUGCACAAAGGUGAAUUUCAACCUGUAUGACUUUGAGCAAGUGACUUAACCUCUCUGUAUCUACCCUUUCCUCAUCUAGAAAGUGGAAGCUAAAAACAUUCACAGCCCCUGGUCAUGACAGAUGGAGCAAACUGCAGGGUGUAGCCCGAAGAUAUUACGUCGAGCAUCCAACGGUCUGAGGAGAUGGACCGGGGGACAUCCCAGGACCAAGAUGGAGGCAGAGGUGACAGGGGACGGAAAUGCUUUCUAGCCUGCUGAGGGGUGUGAAGGCCCAAAGAAUGGAGGGUGGCACGGGAGUCUUUAAGGUCAUGAAGCCAUGCUCUGGUCAGCUCCAAAAAGAGCCCUGCUCCCUCAAAUGGAAGGUCCUGAAAGGUAGUUUGCAUCUUCUGCUCAAAGGACAGCUCAGAGGACUAUAACCAGGAGCUGUGCCUCAUGAGUGACCACCACAGAGGUGACUACCCUGGUUGCCGAAUCCGUAGUGUCCCAGGCCAUCUGAAGGGUGCCUCUCACCACUGCUUUGCCCUUGUCCACCAAGGCGGUGAACUCCUGGUCUCGGUCCUGUGGGAGGCCCUCCUUAACCUUGCUGAUGGAGUUCAACAGGUUGAAGUUGUACCUGCCUAGCAGGGCCUGAGAGUUAGACACCCAAAAUUGCAGGCUGGCUGUCGAAUAAAUUUUCCUGCCAAACAAGUCCAGCCUCUUGGCAUCUUUAUUUUUUGGCGUGCCACUCACCUGUCCCUGCCUGUCCCUUUCAUUGACAGUGGACACGACCAGAGAUCCUGCUGGAGGGUGGGUGUACAGGGACUCAAAUCUCUUUGCGGGGACAUAGAACUUCUUUUCUACCUUGUUGGAAGUAGGUGGAAUGGAAGAGGGGGUCUGCCACACAGAUGUGGCAAUUUUAAUGACCCCAGGUAGAUCGGCAAUGCAACCUGGGCCGGGGUGGAGGAGGGUCUAACAUUAAAGAGGUCAUCUGACUCCUCUGCUAGUUCCUUGACCUCCAAGUUCAGGUUGGCAGCCACCCUUCUGAGCAGGGCCUGGUGC